rnacentral:rRNA from 1 species
AUGAAAGGUUUGAACUUGGAAAAUACUUCAAUUCCAUCACAAGUGUUGAUGCUCAAGUUUCUUGUGCAUUUAAAUCUGAGGGGAAACCACAUGCAAAGAAAUUCAAGAAUCAGUUGUAUAAUUAGGUUUACUAACAUCUAUGCGUUUCUCUUAUGGGAAUCGUUUCCAUACGGCGCGCCGGUGGAACGCUCGGCCGGUUGCGUGCGAGACGCGCGAUUCUUUUUGAUCAAGCGUAGCCCAUCUGGCCCACCACCGCUUGCUCAUCCUUUCUAUCCUUAUCCCGUACGGAAGCUCUCCUCCACUCAUUCACUUCCUUUCCUCAUCCCCUACCUUCAGUUCUUGCCAACAGCUAGCACCCAAAUCAAAACACCAGAGAAAUCACCAAUGCGGAGACGAGCAGGCGAUGCAACUGGGAGGCCGAGCUUUUCCACCACUUGA